rnacentral:rRNA from 1 species
UACAGAGGGUGCGAGCGUUUGUCCGGAAUCACUGGGCGUAAAGGGCGCGUAGGUGGCGACCCAAGUCGAUGGUGAAAGCUCGCCGCUCAACGGCGAGUCGGCCACCGAUACUGGGUUGCUGGAGCACUGUAGAGGCUCAUGGAAUUCCGGGUGUAGCGGUGGAAUGCGUAGAGAUCCGGAAGAACACCGGUGGCGAAGGCGGUGAGCUGGGCAGUU